rnacentral:pre_miRNA from 1 species
AGCCUUCUGUAUCCGUCCUGAGAUUUCGUCACACACUAAACCACAAGGGCUGAUGAGACAGUAAUAAUAAUGCA